rnacentral:lncRNA from 1 species
UUUUUUUUUAAAAUUUCAAAAACAUUCCCUUUUUCUCUCAAAAAGACCCGACCCUUGGGUCCUCUUAGCGCCGCCGUUGCGCUUGCCGCACCGCCACCACCUCCGACGGCCGACGAAGCGCCAGAUGGGCGAUUGAAACUCCGUAACGGUGAGUUUUUCCUCUUUUUCUUUAUGUAUUUUAUUUUCGUAUUUUUUAGAGAAAAAAACAGAUUAAAAAAAGAUAAAAAGAUAAAAUAAAGAAAUAAAGAAAAAUCAAUCCUAAAGAAAGCAACCUUUUUGUAUUUCUGAUGUUUUUUUGCAAAAUCGGGGGUCCCCUUAACAAAGGUUUUUCAAUCGGUUUUGAACCGAAAAUAAACACCCCCUGAUUACAGUGAUUCGGCCUUAGCCGAAAAAAUAAAGAAAAUCCCCCCCUUUUACAUUGCGUUCCAUUCGGCUCUUAUAGCCGAUUACACCACUAUGUUCUGUUCUCUGUUGCUGUUUCUUUUGCUUUUGUUGUUGUUUGCAGGUCUUCUUUUGCAGGCGUUGGAGUGGCUUGCCGUUUUGGUGCAAGGCUUGGCUUGGUGGUGGCAGGCCUCGGGCGUGGUGCGCGCUGAAGGCGCACAUGGAGGCAGCGGCGCCUUAGGGUUUCAAUUCCUGCUGAAACCAGUUAAAGUUUCGGGCCGUUUGGGACAUUAUUUUGUUUGGGCUUGUGGGUUCAUUGGGCUGAAAAUUGGGUUUGUCUAUUAUUGUAAUUGGGCUGGGGCAAAUUUGGGCUUUGUACAGUAACUAUCCAAAUGGAUAAUCACAUCUUUUAACAAUAAACAUAAUUAUUCAAUAGAUAUUUACUAAAAUAAUUAUGACCCUAUGUUAAUAAUCAAACAUCAUAACUUUCAAUAAUACGAGACAUAA